UUUAUAUCAUACUUAAAUUGGUACUAUAAUUGUAUUCUCCGUUAACUUAAGUUCAUUUCACAUUAUACCUCGUGAAAUUUAACAAAUGCCCUAUCUCCCUUUAGAUGUUCCCCACCGAAAUUUUUUUUUAAAGUAUUAUUUAUUGAUAUGUCUCUCUGUUGUUACGAGAUAAAUAUUAUUAAAAUUAUUAUUAAUUUAAACAUUAUGAGUAUAAAAUAUAAA